rnacentral:lncRNA from 1 species
UUUUUCUUUUACCUUUGCUCUUUUCUUUUUACAGAAAAAGCAUGGUAAUAUUUGGGCUGCCAAAAGGAUUUUGUAAAAUGUGGGACUUGGCCACAUAAUUACAUUGCAAUAGUUAGCACUGCCACAAAAAGGUUGUGAGGCUUUUGAAAUAGUUUGAAAUUUUUAUAAAGUAAAAAGGCAUUUAAACUAUUGUUUUAGCCACAGCUUUAAUUGCUUUAGGCCAUUUAAACACCUUGCAAAAAUGUUGGUUCACCACCAAUAUUAACAAAUGACUAUUUGCCACAAGAUGAACAUUUUAGAUCUCCUGUCUGACAAAUAAGAGUUUUUGACUUUAGAUUGGAUUUGAAUUUGAAUCGGUGAUUUGGAUCAAGUGAAGAUUAGCAACAGUAACAAUGAUGACAAGGCAUCAUUAGAAGGGAUUACUGUAGCAUGAUUCUCGGGGUGUUACAAAUCUCCUCCACUACAAAAAAAUCUCGUCCCGAGAUUUAAGAGCUGGAGUAAGGGAGAAAGACUCGGGAAGGACGGAGCUCAACACAAGAUAGGUACCCGGGGGCUAUCUCGGUGAACGUGACAUAGAGGCAUCUCUCGAGUUGAAAUCCAAGAAAGUCAUCGAGAGCAAGGUAAGAAGGUGCACUAAGAAGCUUCAACUUGGUAGGCAAUCAUUCAUUGCCUAGAACAAGGGGUGAAAGGGGUUCAGAGCAUCGAGGAUAAGUAUGGCGUCUGAUACCAGAAUAGAUCAAUAGGAAUGUGGCUCGUGAAUUACAUACGAAGUCAAGCGCAAGGAAUAACUUUGGCAACAGGGGUGUACAGGAGAGUCAGGUUUUGAUCCUAUGGAACUGUGGGUUAUGGGCCCACCAUGUGGGUAAAAAAAAUAGGGAAGGUGUUGACAUCUUGCACGGUCAUGAUAGCAAGAUAUGUCAGGGAAUAGUCUGUCAGUUAUGUCGGCAACAACAUCGGUACCAAGGGCGAGGGACGAAGAGAACCAUUUUCCUGCUGGUUGAAUGAGGCGGACCAAUCGACAAGGUUCGCGUCCAUCGGUGGUUACCGGUAUGUCAUCAACAAUAGUAACAGGGUCUGACUGACAAGGUUGUACAUCGAGGCGUUUUAUAAGCAGGGAAUUAUUUCUGCUUAUAAUAUAUAGAUCACAAGAAGGUUAAACAAACCAAUGAAAGGAAAAUGAAAUUAUCGGAUUAAUCAGACCAAUGGAAAAGAAAAUGUGUUUACACACCAGAAUUGGGAGUCUAUCCUUCCCAAGGGGAAGCGGAGCAGGAUAUACAUGAUAUGACAGCAAGUCCAAAAGCAUUUAGAUAAAGGGGGGAAGGAAGAAACAUGAUAUUACCCAUACAACGGUGUUUGGAUAAUAGAUCAAGAAACAUUCGACAAUGUGCUUCCAAUGUUCUUGUUGAUAUUCGGAGUACCUCAGUCAUGCUUCGAGGUAGCAUUAACAUGGUGUUCCAAGUAGGGGUUGGAGUUGAAGAUCACAAGAAAUACGCAAUGAACAAUUGCAGGAAUAGCAAGGAGUCGAAGGCAUAGCCAAGACAUGAUCAAAAAUGUGUUGGAAAGAAGACAAGGGGGGUUGUCAAUGAUAACUCAAAUCGUUGAAGGUCAAGGAUGGUAUUUCUCACCAUGAAUUCAAUUGUCAUCUCAACGGAAGUCAAAAUGUUGAUGCUAAUCACGACGCAUUUGUCGAGAGGCUCUAUGAAGAUGCCAUCGAGUAGAAAAUGAAGGAUGAAGUGAAAGGCUAGGAUAUCCACGGAUUCGACACAAGCUCGAAGUCAAGCUUGUUGUUCGAAGUGGAAUGGUAAGAUGAGGAAGAUCGGCGUAAGCUUAGCUCAUCGUCGAAAGUUGCUCCGGGCAUAAGGACCAGGUAGCACAGUUAAAAGUUGACACGAUAAAAAUAUAGCCGAUCAGGCUAGGAACGAUGUGAUGGGGUAUAAAACUUUGCGAUAUCAGGUACUAAGUGUAAUACCGGAAGGUAAAUCAGAGUAGAGGUUGGACGGGGGGGGGGGAAUGAUUUGCAGAGGAUAAGUAUUUUAACUUAUCCGGUAAAUGGAAUCAAGGAGGAAAUAUGUUCGGAACCACGAUUGCAAAGAAUCAGUUCAUAGAUAUAAGAUGAGCUUGUACCAAAGAAAUAAUUAUUUUUAUGAGCAGCUUCCAUGAUGAGUUCUACAUCGGGUCCAUGGGCAUGAACACAAGGGUUCAAGGUCGACUCCCACUUCUUCAAUGCAUAACCUUUCAUUCACUCCUCGUUUUUCAAAGAAAUUGUAGUGCAGAGGAUUUAUCUGGUGAAGUACCAGAAGAGUAAGACUCACAUCUCUUUUGAGUUCACACGGAUUAGGGAAGGCAUAGGUUCAACCCGUAGGGGUAUCUUAGGAACAUAUACCACUAACUUCAGGAUUAAAAUAUACCAGCUCAAAAGCAGAGCAUGGUUGACAAAAGCAGAUGAUAGACUUUACCAAAGGCAUUAUGUGUCAGGGCAAAACUCACAAGUUUAAUGAAUAUGAAGGACAUUGUCGGAUAAUAAUCCAACCAAGGAUAUGGCGGUCCAUAAAAGAUCUGAUGUGAGUAUCAAUACUCACUCAGAAGAAGAAAGAAUGCCAAGGCAUCGGGUUAUAGAUGUAACUGGAUAACUUCAAAGCUUGAAUACAAAGGAAUAACGAUUUUAAGUCAAAGAUCAGAAGCAGAGGCUCUGAUCAAAAGAUGAUUAAGUUGAAUAGACUUAGAGGUGCACCCGAUCAAAUCUUGAUUGGGUAAGAACCAGCUCAUAACCGGAGCGAUGUCGGAGACGGAAAGAAAAUUUCCAAGGAUUAAUUGGUGAUUGCGAGUAUUCGCUCACACGUUGAAUCCAUAGGAACAAAAGGACAACCACAAAGAAUUUUAAAGAAUAUUUCUAGACAUAUGGAACUAAUAGUAGUGCAAGCAAGCAAGGAGAAUCAAGAGCAAUAGGCUGCAGAGGAUUUUCGGAAGAUCACAUAGUAUUUCUAAGAAUUUUGUGAAUCACACGAACAACUGAGGAUGAACGGAUCCUCGGUGAGUGCAAGGAAUUAUUCGAAGGGGGGGUGUAUUCAUGGGGCAAAGAACUGCAAGGCAGUAAGCUCAAAGGAUUCUCGAAACAAUAGAGAAUUUCGGGGCAUCUUGUAAUAACAAGAGCAUCGCGGAAUGAUUGUAUGGACGGCAAGUCUAUGUAGCUAUCCAUGGGGAUUUAUCAGUGGUAGAGAAAUGCAAUGGCGAAGGGCACAAGGGUCUCGGGAAAACAUCGAGGAGUAUCUGCAGAAUCUUCUGGCGAAGCAAGCGAUCAUCUGUAGUGAAGGGGCUCUCCGGGAGGAAGUGGUUACAAGAUCCUAGAGUCAGAUUUAGUAAAAUCUUUAACCCGAAUAGAAGAGAGAUCAGAAUCCGAGAGCAUAGACGAGGAGUAAAAGAUCCUAAUACCACCCAAUGGCGACGUGGGCCCGUAAGACACAAUCCAAUGUUAGUAAAAGUUUUUCAGUGACUAGACUCAACUUCGGCCAAGGAGUUGGAAAGGGGGCUACCUACAGGCAGUCGGCUCUGAUACCAACUUGUGAUGCCCUCGAUUCAAUCGUACACUAAUCAUGCACGCAAAUGUGUAUGAUCAAGAUCAAGGACUCACAGGAAGAUAUCACAACACAACUCUAGACACAAAUUAAAAUAAUACAAGCUUUAUAUUACAAGCCAGGGGCCUCGAGGGCUCGAAUACAUAAGCUUGAAUACACAAGAGUCAGCGAAAGCAACAAUAUCUGAGUACAGACACGAGUUAGACAAGUUUGCCUUAAGAAGGCUAGCACAAAAGCAGCAACGAUCGAAAAGACAAGGCCUCCUGCCUGGGAGCCUCCUAACUACUCCUGGUCGUCGACGGUCUUCACGUAGUAGUAGGCACCCUCAUGGUAGUAGCAGUCAUCGUCAAAGGUGGCGUCUGGAUCCUGGGCUCCGACUUCUGGUUGCAUCAAACGGAAAGAAGAAGAAAGGGGGAAAAGGGGGAGCAAAGCAACCGUGAGUACUUAUCCAAAGUACUCGCAAGCAAGGAUCUACACUACAUAUGCAACAUUAUCAAAGGAAGGCUGUAUAUGUGGACUGGGCUGCAGAAAUGCCAGAAUAGAGAGAAGGCCUAGUCCUAUUGAAGACUAGCAUCUUCUGGAAACCACCAUCUUGCAGCAAACAGGAGGGAGUAGAGUAGCAUAAGGUAAAGUAGUAGUAGUGUUAUCAACCUCGGCCAGAGAUCCUUUCUCGACUCCCUGUGAGAAAGCAAUCCCAGAGCCAUACUAUCCGGUUAUCACCUCAUCACAAUCCAAUUCUCAUCACCAUCCAAUUCUCAUCACAAGUAUCCAGUUCUAGUUGUAUCGAUCGGGAUACAACUCCAAGUGUCCGUUACCGUAGGACAUGCUAUGCAUAGAUUAGUUCUUCCCUGCAGGGGUGCACCAACUUACCCACCACGCUUGAUUAACUCCGGCCGGACACACUUUCCUGGGUCAUGCCCGGCCUCGGCCAAACAAUACGCCGCAACUCGACCUAGGCUUAAUAGAGAGGCCAGCACGCCGGACUAAACCUAUGCCCCCAGGGGUCAUGGGCCAUCUCCCCAGGAACUCCUGCACGUUGUGUACGCGGCCGGUGAGCAGACCUAGCUACCUCCUUAAAAAAGGAAGGAGCUUACCAGUCCAACCCGGCGCGCGCCGCUCAGUCGCUGACGUCUAUUAAGCUUCGGCUAAUGUAUACGACACAGAACGCCCAUACUAUGCCCACGUGAUGGUUAGUGCUAUCAGGCCAGAGGCCCCUCGGAUCAAAUAUCCAAAUCGUAGUGGAUUAGGAAAGCGCGGUAACAAGCAGAGACUCACGAAAGAUGUGACCCCGUUGCCCCGUCUCGAGGACUUGCGGCAAGGGCUAAGAAUGCCCGACCAUGCCUUGUAUUCAACUCUCGGGUACCCUCCAGGUCAACCCGCCUCCACAUCACUCGCAAUUAUGCUCGCGCGGGUACCCCUCAGGGUCGACCCGUCUUUCGUAACAUGGUUCAGUGUAAAGUCAUGGUAAUCAUAGUAACUAUGUGUCUAAACAUCAAGGGGAAAACCCGAGGAAUCACCCCCGGUGAAUUCCACUCAAUGUAAUCAUCAAGGUGAACGUAAGAGGAAUCACCCCCGAGGUUCACACUUGAGGGGUUGCACGACAGAGUCGUAUCGGAAGUGGUUAAGGCGAAAUCACCCUCGAUGACCACGACCGAAUAGCUACACUACCGAGUUAACAUCAGAAGUGCUGUAGAGGUCUCACCCUCGGCACUCGAUAGUAACCUAGUAGUGUCGAGCAACUAAGGGGAAAGUGAUGUGCGGCGCUGGGGCCUGGUCUUCGAUCCUGUUGAUCAGGUCUUCAAUGAUGAAGCAGAGGCGACAAGGACAAGGUGGGGGUCACUGAUGGAUCACUAACCAACCUAUACUAAGCAGUUUAGGAUAAGCAGGUAAGGUACAACAGCAAAUACAAAAGCAGGCUAUGCAUCAAAAUAGGAGCAAACAAUAACAGUAGCAAAAUCUAGUGCAAGCAUGAGAGAAUGGAAUGGGCGAUAUCGGGAUGAUCAAAGGGGGGGCUUGCCUGGUUGCUCUGGCAAGGAGGGGUCGUCAUCGACAUAGUCGAUCACAGGGGCAGCAUCGGUCUUGGGGUCUACCGGAGAGAAGAGGGGGAAGAAACAGUAAAUAUAAAGCAAACAUAGCAUCACAAAGCAGAACGUGGCAAUAUGCUGUGCCGGGAGUGACCUAACGUAUGGCUACACGAUAAAGGUGAAGGGGGGAAUCAACCGGGAAUGUUUUCCCGGUUCCGGACCUGUGUCAGACAGAUGACCGGAGGGGGAAUGUUCCAUGUUCAGCCUGCUAGGGGCAUGUGACAGAUGAACGGACCGUGUAUUCAGAUUCGUUGGAUUUUUUCUGAGCAACUUUCAUAUAGAAAACAUUUUCAUCUGAGCUACGGUUUAAUUUCUAUGAAUUUUCAAAGUUUAAACAAUAUCCUGGAAUUAUUUAUACUAACAGAAAAGGAAUAUGACGUCAGCAUGACAUAGGAGUGACGUCAGCAGCCAACAGUCUGGUUGACUGGUCAAAACUGACACGGGGGACCCACCUGUCAGCCUCUGUUACUUAACAGAGCUUAUUUUAAACUAAACUGAGGUUAAUUAGCUGAUGGGCCCCACAUGUUAGUGGCUAAUUAGCUAAACUAGUUACUUUUAAUUAUAAAAACAAUUUUAGUUAAUAUUUAAGCGGUGGAGCCGGCUCAUCAGUGGCACUGUACCGCCAUGUUAGCGUGUUGACUGGGUCAACCCAGUCAACGGGGCCCCUAAGGCCCACUGGCAGUGAGCCAGGGGUGGGGCCCGCCAGCCACGUCGGCGGCGGCCGGCGUCUCGCCGCCGGGACGCUAGAACGCGGCGGAGCCGCUCGGGCCUCGUCGGAAAUGCGCUAGGGGCGGCCGUUUCGCGUGCGGUUGGCACCGUUUGAACGCGCGCACGGCACCGUGUCGGGUGGUGGUGGUGGCUCGCCCGGGGAUGGUCGGAACAACCAUCGGCGGCGAGCACGAGCGGCGACGGUGUUCGGAGUCACGUCGGGAAUGGGCUAGGAGGCACGGGAGGGCGAGAGGAAGGGCUGGCCGGGCUCCUGGGAACACCAGGAGCACGAUGGAGGGCUCGGACGGGGGCCACGGCAGCGGUGGCCACGACGGUGAUGCAACAGGGCGACGGUGAGCUACGGCGAUUGCGGCGAGCGAGCUAGAGAGGGAGGCGGCCUACGUGGGAGAAGGGAGAGGGGGAGGAGCUCACCGGGUGGGCGCACGAAGGCCCGACGAGUAACAGGAGCGCAGUGGCGGUGGCCGGAGUCGAAAGCGGCGGCGACGGCGGUCCAGGAGGAAGACGAAGGGGAUCCGGCGUUGGGGUGGCUCCCACCUUGAGGUUGUUGGCGCAGAUGAAGCAGCAGACGGCUGCGGGGCUCGUGGACACAUCGGGGCGGUGAGGAGGGCCCGGUGGCCGCGGUGGCGCAGCAACGCGGCAGCGACAAUGCAUCGGGGCGAGGUGGAUCUGGAGAAGGGGUCGAGGCUAGAGGGAGAGAGGGAGAGGGGGCGUCCAGGGGGAGUGAGUGGGUGCGGGGAGCCCGAGGGGUCGAGGGGACGUCGCCCUUAUCCCUUCCCCGACGGGGACGGUGACAGGGUUCAGUGGCGACCGGCGAGCGCGGUCGCUGGGUCGGGUGAACAGAGAGGAGGGAGGCGACCGAGGGAGGUGGCCUGCUGGGUUGGGCCGCCCAGAUGACUAAGGCCCAGGGGGGUCAGGUUUUUUUUUUCUUUUUUUCUUUUACCUUUGCUCUUUUCUUUUUAUAGAAAAAGCAUGGUAAUUUUGGGCUGCCAAAAGGAUUUUGUAAAAUGUGGGACUUGGCCACAUAAUUACAUUGCAAUAGUUAGCACUACCACAAAAAGGUUGUGAGGCUUUUGAAAUAGUUUGAAAUUUUUAUAAAGUAAAAAGGCAUUUAAACUAUUGUUUUAGCCACGGCUUUAAUUGCUUUAGGCCAUUUAAACACCUUGCAAAAAUGUUGGUUCACCACCAAUAUUAACAAAUGACUAUUUGCCACAAGAUGAACAUUUUAGAUCUCCUGUCUGACAAAUAAGAGUUUUUGACUUUAGAUUGGAUUUGAAUUUGAAUCGGUGAUUUGGAUCAAGUGAAGAUUAGCAACAGUAACAAUGAUGACAAGGCAUCAUUAGAAGGGGAUUACUGUAGCAUGAUUCUCGGGGUGUUACAU